rnacentral:tRNA from 2 species
CGGGCUGUAGCUCAGCUUGGCUAGAGCGCUGCGUUCGGGACGCAGAGGUCGUAGGUUCAAAUCCUAUCAGCCCGA